UUGUCUAAACUCACGCCUCACGGGUGCUCUGCGGGAUUCAUUUCACAACCACUUGUUGCCUUCCGCUAAUAGUUGCUAGGUUAAAUAAACUUUUCUCCCUUACUUUGUAUCGGGAAAGUUUUUUUACAUUUUGUCUGUUCCAAUUUCUUGUCGUAAACUCAGUUUGCCUUCCGUUUAGAAACCAGGAAAGUGUUGUCGUAUUGUCGUAGUCCAGGCAGUGUUGUGAAGACUGUCGGUUCAGUCUGAUAAAACCUUUCCGGACGAUAAAGUCAUACGCAUUCUUAGUUCUUGAUGGUGUCCGUCGAAGGCGCAUCAGCGGUGGAGCCCGCCAAGAUCCACAACAUCCCAAACCUGAACAAUUUUUCUGGGACUGCUGACGAUGAAGACAAAUCAACAGCAGCUGAUCCUUUAAUUGCUCGACCAAUAGUUAUUGUUGCUCCAAAGCAGUAUCUUUCCCCAGAAAGUGUUUGUCAGACUGCUGGGUUCAUCAACAGUCAGAAUCAACAGGUGGUGAAGUUUCCUAGCAAUGUUCGCUUUGUUGUCCAUCCAGUAGCAGAGGACGAAAUCAGAAAAGCAGAUGUGGAACCCCAUGAGGAAAGUGGGAGCUGCCACCUUUCGGCACAGUCUUUUACAUUUUUAGGUGGCCAUUCAUCUGCAGAUGACAUAAAUGGACAUUACAGUUUUUGGGGCUCUGAUCCCCAAGCUCAGUUGACAGUCCGAUCGAUGGCUUCCAUCGGCCUAGGCUCUUCAAAUGGUAGGAAAAUCCAUUUGCGUAGAGUGCACACAACAGGGCACGAUCUAGUUUCUCCUCUUUUGCUGUCUCCCAACGGCGAAGCCAUCCAGCCUCCGUGGGCAUUUUCUACCACAACGAAGAACGUGAGUGGGAUGCUGGAUGGGCCGGUGGACGACGGCUCCAGCAGCGACGAAUCUUAUUCUGACACUAGAAAAAACAGGCACAAACAAAGGAGCCGACAUCGCCAUAGUGCCCGGACAGAUCGACACACUGGCCAGACAUGGGGCUCAAAGGUAGAAUUUCUGCUGGCCUGCGUUGGCUUUGCGGCGGGACUUAGCAAUAUCUGGCGAUUCCCUUACACGGCGUUCAAAAGCGGAGGAGGGGCUUUUCUCGUUCCUUACUGCAUUAUGGUCUUCCUGUGCGGCAUUCCAAUGCAGAUAUUAGAGUUGGCAGUUGGCCAAUACACACGUGAAGGUCCUGUGGAAGCGAUGAGAAACAUUUGCCCACUUUUCUCAGGUGUCGGCGUUGGCAUGGUACUCUUUAGCAUGAUGCUCAGCUGCUACUAUAGCGUGGUAAUGUCAUGGGCUAUGCUUUACCUGGGAUCCUCUUUCAGUUCCCAGCUACCUUGGACCCAUUGCAAUAACACCUGGAACACGGAUUUCUGCCACCAAGGUUCGCUACCUUUUCCUUCACGUCCGGAUGACAACGUCGUCGGGGUUCAACGGCUUGUGGCGGUUGAAGUUGUCAACAUUUCGUCACUCAACCGGACAACGCCUGGUCAAGAAUUUUUCGAUCGACGAAUUUUGCAGAUGACUAAUGGAGUCACCGAUAUGGGUGAUAUCCAUUGGGAAUUGACAGUCUGCUUGCUUAUCGCCUGGGUGUUGCUUUACGCCACCAUUCGUAAAAGCGUCCGUUGGUCAGGGAAAAUGGUUUACGUGACAGCUACUCUUCCCUACUUUUUGUUAUUGGCUCUGACUGGCCGAGCGCUAACGCUGGAAGGAGCCGACGAUGGAUUGCGCUACUUCUUCCACCCGGAUUGGUCAAUCUUGCUCAGUUCUGAGGUUUGGGUGAAUGCUCUGGCCCAGGCGUUCAUGUCCAUGGGAAUCGCUUACGGAUGUCUGAUGGCGUUUGCCAGUUAUAAUCGUUUUCACAACCCAUUGAUUCGUGACGCACUCUGCUUGAGCAUGCUCAAUUCCUUGACGUCAUUGAUAGCCGGUAUCAUCGUCUUUGCUGCCCUUGGUCACACUGCCUAUGUUCAGAGCCUACCAAUCGAUCAGGCCGCCACUGACGGUUUGAGCUUAUCGCUGGUGAUGUACUCGACGGUGGUUUCACAGAUGCCCUUCCCACAAUUCUGGAGCGUUUUCCUUUUUGUCAUGCUCAUUUUCAUUGGUCUGGAUACCCAGUUCGCCACAGUGGAAGUGGUCCAGCUGACGUUGCACCGUUUCUUCAAGCAAUUUUGCAACAAGAAAAGCGGUUUGAUGCCUGACCUCGUUGUCAUUGGCAUGUGUAUGGUGUGCUUCGUCGGAGCCCUUCCUUACAUCACACAGGUUCAUUAUUUUCCAGGGGGCAUUUAUUUGAUGCAUCUAACAGAUUAUUACAUCGCCACUGUAGCCGUCACUUUACUAGCUCUGAUUGUUGCAUUUUCGACCGGAGUCCUCUACGGAGCCGGACGGCUGGCUCGUAACAUUCGAGAAAUGACAGCUCACAGUCCAUCUCCCAUCCUCAUUAUUUGCUGGGCGGCACUGACGCCUCUAAUUAUUUUGGGCGUGUGCGUUUUCCAUCUCUGUGACCUUAAAGGCCUCGACUACAAUCACGGCACGUACGUCUUUCCCGAAUGGACAGUGGCGCUCGGUUGGUCCGUCGUGGCCUUUAUUCUCGUACCUGUUCCGCUGUUUGGUAUUGUUGCCAUUUCUCAAGCCAGUGGAAAAUCCAUCAUCCAGAAAAUCGGAAACUCGCUGAAGUCACAGAUUGCCGAAUGUCCUUGUUGUCGUCGAGGCGUCCACGGGCUCAAGGAUACCCAUUCCAUGGUCCACUUGGACGAAGAUGCCCUGGGCAGCCCUCAAACCGCUUAUACGUUCGCCGAGUUCGCCGCAGUUGCCUAUCCGGAUGAUGGAUCGCAUACCGUCACUUCAGUGUCCUCGCUACCUUUUACGCCUUCCACUCUUAACUCGCCUCUCACACCUACCGUUGCCGUCCAUUACCCAUCAGAUGAAGAUUUGCAUAGGCUAAGCAAUUCAGUUGAAAGUAGGCAGCAUCCUCCGACGGAUUAGUAAAUAACUAUAGCUUCAUUUAGGUCGAAACUAUUUCGGAACUCUUUCGUUCAUUUUAUUUUUCUCCCUCUUAUCAAAUUUCCCCAUUAUGAAAGCAAAUUUAUUUUCUUGGUUCCGGAUGAUGAGCGUUUCAUCGGGAACCGGUCGCUAUCACAAAAUCGUUUGGCCCUUGUCUGAAACCGAAUACUCUCUAUCUCAUUUGAGGUUUCAACUGGAACGAGUAGGUUGCUAUUUAAAAAAAAGUUUAGAUUUGGUUUUUCCUUCUUUCUAAAGGGAGAGGAAGCGUGAGGAGGCGAGUAGACUUACGGAGUGGAAAUACCCAGUGAAAACCCCUCGAUAAUAAUUAAAGAAACUAGUGAUUCGCAUAAUUUCAAUUUAUAUUUUAGACGUGGCGAUGGCUUGGGCCGCAGUCGAUCAAUAACGUUCACAAACUGACCUUUCGCAGAUAUAUUGCCUGUAUUGCGGUAAUAUCAUAAAGACUUGUAUAUGUAUUAUUCUUUUCUUUUUUUUUAAAUUUUGGUUUGACAGUUUGAUUAAGGAACAAUAAUACAAAUACCAUCACUCUUGAA
rnacentral:misc_RNA from 1 species